rnacentral:lncRNA from 1 species
CUCUUUGUCGGAGGAGCUCCGCUGUUUCCUGUGCUGUAGCUCCCGUUGCGGCGGCGCCCGUGGCAGCCCUGGCGGACGCAGGAGCGAUGGCAGCGACCGAUAUAGCUCGCCAGGUGGGUGAAGGUUGCCGAACUGUCCCCCUGGCUGGACAUGUGGGGUUUGACAGCUUGCCCGACCAGCUGGUGAAUAAGUCAGUCAGCCAGGGCUUCUGCUUCAACAUCCUGUGCGUGGGAGAGACAGGUUUGGGCAAGUCCACCCUUAUGGACACCCUGUUCAACACCAAGUUCGAGGGGGAGCCAGCCACCCAUACACAGCCAGGUGUCCAGCUCCGGUCCAAUACCUAUGACCUUCAAGAGAGCAACGUGGGCCUGAAGCUCACCAUUGUUAGCACAGUGGGCUUCGGGGAUCAGAUCAACAAGGAAGACAGGUAAGGAAGGCAGUGGGGUCGGGAGGAGCUCACCAUGGGGGUCCCGCUGGACCCCUUCUCAGAGCAGUCGGCAGGCAGCUCGCCAGCGUCGCCUCCACCCAGGGUUCCUGUCUGUUUCACCUGUUCCACUCCACACGCUUUGCCAAAAGAAGGACGUCUUUCCACUCCAUUCAGCAGACAUUUAUGGAGCGUCUAUGUUGUGCCAGGUACCGCUGUGCUCUGACCAUCUCAAGAGGAAUGACUUUGUCUCUGCCCUUGAGGCACUCACGGGGAAGCCCGACUUCAAGCAAGUUCCUUUGAGUGUGACGUGCUCUGCAAAGGACAGGGCACGCAGAAGUAAAGGACAGGUUACAAUGAGAGCACGAAGGAGAGAACGGUCAGCUCCAGGCGGGGAGAUCAGGGAGGUCUGCACGGAGGAGGGGCCCUCUGAGCUGGCCCUGAAGGGUGAACAGUUUUGCCAGACAGACAAAGGAAGGUUGGGCAGGGCAGUCCGGGCAGGGGCACGUGCUCGUACGGAGGGAGAGAGAUGUGAAAGACGGUGGCCUGUUCUAGGGGACGGCGGUUGCACUCUUGCUAGGCCAGGAGCAGCGUUUCUGUGAAGCUGGUGUAGCCUGUUUCAGGGCCUCCCUUGCACACACCCGCUCCAAGGCCUUGGACCUAAUUUCUAGUCAUUACAUUGUUUGACUAAUGUGUGUAUUAGGGGUGUUUGUGGCCAGAACACAUGAGACACACAUUAGGCUCUUCAGAUUGUUUAAGCUUUGGGUCUGGCCAUUCCUGCUCUGCCCCUGGGCUGGCACUUGGCAUGGGCUGGGGAAAAGGUGCGGGGACAUGAGCCUGAAGCGGUAGGCAAGGGCCAGAUCUUGGAGGGGUUUAUAGAAUGUGUAGAUAUGGAGCCAUUGAAAGACUGUAUGAAGUAAAAAAGAUGUAGUUGGAUUGGCCUUUGAAGAGGGGCUUAGAGACAGUGUGGAGAUGGACUGCAGAGUAGGAAGGCCCAAUGGGAGGCUGUUGGACCAAGUCGGUGGAGGCCAGCGGGAAACGGUGCUGAGACAGGAAGGGGAGACAGAUUUGAAAACUCUUGAGUAGGUAGAUGCAACGACUUGGUGGAGACUUGGUGUGGGGUUGUGAAGGCAAAAGAAGAAUUUGGAAUGAGGCCCAGAUUUCUGGCUUUGGACAGUGGACAGAUGGUGGUGGCAUUCGGGAAAAUGUUCUGUGAAAACAGAAAAAGAGAACCAUGGUUUUUUUUUUCUUUUUCUUUUUAUGGCUGCAUCUGCGGCAUGUGGAGGUUCCCAGACUAGGGGUUGAAUCAGAGCUACAGCUGCCAGCCUACACCACAGCCACAGCAAUACCAGAUCCGAGCCGCGUCUGCCACUUACACCACAGCUCACGGCAACACCAGAUCCUUAACCCGAGGAGCGAGGCCAAGGAUCGAACCCGCAUCCUCAUGGUUCCUAGUUGGAUUCGUUACUGCUAAGCCGUGACGGGAACUCUGAAAACCAUGCUUUAAGAGAAUCAGCUGUUUCAGACAUGUUGAGUUUGAGCUGCCUGGGGACCGUCCAGAGAUGGGCUGACCUUUAUAGGUCUGCAGAUGACUUGCAGGGUCAGAGGUCAGGAGAGGGUCUGCGCUGGAAACAGACUUUGGGUUAUCAAGGUAUAAGUGAUAUGUUCCAGCCGCACAAACACACAAGAUCAUCCAGGGAUCAGAGUCGAGCGAGAUGAACACCGGGCUAAAGGCUAAAACCUGGGGCUGUUUAGUCAAGAGAUGGAGGAAAAGACAUCCUGGAAAGAGUCUGAGCUGGAAUAAGCAGAAAGGAGCAGAGACUGUGGGCGCUUGAGAAUGGUGUGCAAGUGAGGGCUGGGGUGAGGUGCUGUUGCUGCGAUGAGGGCUGAGCUGAGGGAGCGGGAGGGGUCAGGCACCAUCUGCAUUUAACUAAAAGUCACAUGGUUAUCACACGUGCUCACUGCAGAAAAGACCAUUCAUCAUUUUGAGCAGUGUCCGCUCAUCCUUUGAGGAUUCCCUUGCUGCGUAGAUGAACUAUAUUCCAAAUUCUUCUAUUUCUCCCUUAGAGUGUGUAACAGCCAUACUCAUUUCCUUAUAAUGAAUAAAUAUAUGUAGCUCCUUAAUAAUUGAACUGAAUUCUGUUUUCCAUUUGAAAUUCUAGACAAAGGACACCUCUGCUUUUUAUAGGCUUGCUUAUCGUGCUAAUCUUGUUUGGCGGAGAAUAAAUUAGACCCUGGGGAAAGGAGAUAUUUGGGUCACAAUAUGAGUGAUUAAUCUCAGCUGCAGAUUGAAAGGCAUCUCCUCAAUUAAAAUUUCUCACAGUUCUCAGUGACAUACAGUCAACAUAGCUAACGUUGGAAAGUGCCUUGAUGAUGACAGUUUGGGAAGACUGAGCUGAUACAGCCCCUUAGAGGCUAAGCUACUUCUCUCUAUUUAUUUAUUGACUGCACCCGAGGCAUCUGGAAGUUCCCAGGCCAGGGAUCAAACCCACGUCACAGCAACGACCUGAGCAACAGCAGUGACAAUGCUUGAUCCUUAACCCACCAAGCCACUGGGGAACUCCUACUUCCCUUAUAUUUUUAAUAUUCUUAUUUUUCCUGAUUGUAAGUAUGAUACAUACUCAUACAUAAUCAAAUAUUACAAACUUGAAUAAGUAGAAAUGAGAGCGUCCCUGGAAUUGGGCUGGAGAACAGGAGUGAAGUAAGCUCCAAGGAUUUGUCAUAAAAAGGAGUGUCUUCUGCAUUCUGACACGGCCGUGUAAGCAUAGAUAGAUCAGUGCAACUGCAUUGAAAUAGUGUGUUGAAAGGGCCCGCCUGGAGUUCCUGUCGUGGGGCAGGGGUUAACAAAUCCGACUAGGAACCAUGAGGUUGUGGGUUCGAUCCCUGGCCUCAUUCAGUGGGUUAAGGAUCUGGCGUUGCCGUGAGCUGUGGUGUAGGUCGCAGACUCGGCUCGGAUCUGGUGUUGUGGCUGUGGCGUAGGCCGGUGGCUACAGCUCCGAUUAGACCCCUAGUCUGGGAACCACCAUAUGCCGUGGGAGUGGCCCUAGAAAAGACAAAAAGACAAAAAAAAUAAAUAAAUAAAAAAAAAAGAAGGCCCCACCUUACCCAGGGUGUAGGGACAAACUGAGAAGGGCAGUGACAAAAGCCACAUCCUGGGGAAAGACACCACGUGAAGGAUGCUGGAACAAAAAGAACUCGAGCAAGAGAGACAGAGGCUAGAAAGAGGGGUGCUUAGGAACUUGGGUUUUGGUCUCAAACAGACCUGGGUUCAGAUCCCAUCUUGCCACUUAUUAGUUCAGGGAUCUAGGACAAGUGUUCUGUCUCGUCUCAGCCUGUCCAUCACCAUGGUUGUGGCUGGACUGGCCCUUGUGGUUCUUUUUGUGAUUGCAAGAUGCCCUCAGUAAUAACCAUCAGGAAACUUUGGUGGGGGGAGGGUUUAUUACUCACAGGUCCUGGAAAGGGCAAGGCACAUGUGGGGCUACACAGCAAAGCUGAGGAUAGAGAAAAACAGAGCACAUGGGCUUGGGGUUCUGCUUUCAUUGGGAUUGAGGGUGGUGGCCUAUGGUUUUGCGGGCUUGUUCUUUACUGGUGAAUGUAAAACAUAAGAGAAAGAAUUUUAGGAGUUCCCGUCGUGGCGCAGUGGUUAACGAAUCCAACUAAGAACCAUGAGGUUGCGGGUUCGAUCCCAGACCUUGCUCAGUGGGUUAACGAUCCGGCGUUGCCGUGAGCUGUGGUGUAGGCUGCAGACGUGGCUCGGAUCCCGCGUUGCUGUGGCUCUGGCGUAGGCCAGUGUCUACAGCUCCGAUUGGACCCCUAGCCUGGGAACCGCCAUAUGCCACGGGAGCAGCCCAGGAAAUGGCAAAAAGACAAAAAAAAAAAAAAAAAAAAAA